UUUAUAUUGAGUUUGAUGAUGGCUCUGAUUGAACGCUAUCCAAGUGCUUGACACAUGCUAAUCGUACGUCUAAUUACAUUAGAAAUAAUUUAGUUAGAAGUGGUGUACAGGUGAGUAAAUGAUAUUAUGGCUACCUUGGAGUAAGGGACAUUAAAAUCCCUUAUAUUAUAAAAAAAUUUUUAUAUUAAAAGAAAUUUAUUUUCGCUCCUAGAUGGAAAUUAAUAUCUCGGACAGGUAGUAGUUAAGGUAAUGGCUUAACUAGCUUAUGUCCGUAGUCGAGACUGAGAGGUCGAUCGACCACAUUGGGUCUGAAAAAACCCCAAUACGUAUAGUACAGCAGUGAGGAAUAUUGGUCAAUGGCCUAACGGCUGAACCAGCAACUUGGGGGAAUGUAUAUAUAUUAGAGAUAAUAUAUAGUACCGACUCUGUCGGAUAAAGUUCUAGAUAGAAUAAUGAUAAUGACAAUUUUCUAUCUAUAUGUCUUGACCAAAUCUUGUGCCAGCAGUCGCGGCAACACAAGGGAGACUAGUGUUAUUCAUCUUUAUUAGGUUUAAAGGGUACCUAGACGGUAUAUCAAGCCCCAAAAGGGAACUGAUAUACUAGAGUUUUAUGUGAGAGGCAAAUAUAGUACUAUUGGUGUAGAGAUAAAAUUCAUUGAUACCUCUAGGCACGGGUAACGGCGAAGGCAAUCCUCUAUGUAAAAACUGACGUUGAGGGACGAAGGCUUGGGGAGCGAAUAGGAUUAGAUACCCUAGUAGUCCAGGCAGACAAUUAUGAAUGUCAUAGAUUAGAAAUAUUUUUUUGAUCUAUAAAUGAAAGUGUAAGCAUUCCACCUCAAGAGUAAUGUGGCAACGCAGGAACUGAAAUCAUUAGACCGUUUCUGAAACCAGUAGUGAAGUAUGUGUGCGACAAGAAGCAGAUAUUAGUAAUGUGGUGCGAUUCCACUAGGUGUUCUCUACCUAACACUACCUAUACAUGCAGGAUAGUAAUUGAAUGUGUGAAGCUGUAGGAACAAUGUAGCCUGUCUUAGAUGACAAUGUAGAUAUAUUAUAAAAAGUAUAAUUAUAUCUCCAGGAGCUAGUGUAAGUAAGACAUGGAGAGCGAAAGUCAAGAUAGCAAUGACGCUUCGAUAUACUACUCAUGAGAUUUGUGGAAGGGAAUAGAUUUUACAUACUAAUCUAUUAGAGAAACCAUAUUUCCACCGGAGUAAAGCUAUCCUCCUAAAUCUUACGUAAAUUGUGCUAAUAUCUGAACUUGGUAACCCCUUUAUCUUCAGCUAUAAAUUAAGCUCUUAAAAGUACUCCGCGGUUCUUUAAGUUAUUACUUAUUUAUAGAAGAGGCAACAUAUAAGAUUUAUCGAAAUUGUUGUAUCCGGUAAAGGGGAAAGGAGAAGUUAAAAAGCAAAUGCCUAGUAUUAGAUUUCAAUUGAAGUAAAUCUAUAUUACGGAUAUAGUUAAAUAUUAAUAAUUUUUACUUAUAAAUUUAGUUUAUGUUUUUUUAUAAAUCUCACUUUUGAUGGUUUAUUCGUUUAUAACACUAGCAGGAAUAAAUAAAUGAGUCAGGAUAAUUUUAUCCGUAAACUCGGCCUUCUUUUAGGUUUUAUUUCUAGUUAUAACGAGUUAAUCUUUAUCUAAUUUUUGUAUAAUGAUCUUAUUUCUUUUGUAUUACUUGAUAAGAAUCAUCUUUCUGUUCAUAAAGAAAUCGAAGAUUUCUCUAACUUGAUUUAACAUUGAGUUCAUUUGAGAUAUUUCUAACUACUGAUAUUUAGAUAAAAGAAGGUGAGUCUCCAUGAUGAACAAUAGAAAAUUUAAUUUAUUAAACCCCUGAGCAUUAACAGGUAUUAUUGAUGCUGAAGGAAGUUUUGGAGUGGUUGUUGUAAAAGAUAAAACUCGUUCUUCCGGAUUUGUUAUAACAGUUUUCCUAGAAGUUGGCCUUAAUGUUGUUGAUAAGGAUCUAUUGGAGCGAAUUAAAGCUACUUUAGGUGUUGGUAAUAUCUAUUUUAAAUCAUCUGAUAAUACAUACAGAUGAAAAGUUAGUAAUAUCAAUGACUUAUUCAAUGUGAUUAUACCACAUUUCAUUAAAUAUCCUCUAGUUACACAAAAACGUGCUGACUUUGAGUUAUUUACUAAAAUAGUGGAAAUUCUUAAAAACAAAGGCCAUAUUGAAUCUAAAGGUUUACAACAAAUUGUAAACUUAAAAGCUUCUUUAAAUCUAGGUCUAUCAGAUAAUCUAAAGAAAGAUUUCCCUGAUACUGUUAUGAUUCCUAGAUCUCAAAUACGUUUUGAGGGGAUUCCUGAUCCUAAUUGAUUAGCUGGUUUUGCCUCAGGUGAAGCUUGUUUCUUUAUUAGUAUCUAUAAAUCUUUAAAGUCUAAACUAGGAUCCGCUGUUCAAUUAGUAUUUAAAAUUACUCAACAUUCUCGUGAUAGAGAAUUACUUAAAGGUAUAGUAGUCUAUCUUUCUUGCGGUAGAGUUGAAAACCGUAAGGGUGAAGCUUGUGACUUUACAGUUAAUUCUUUCAAGAGCUUUGAUGAGAUAAUUAUACCUUUCUUUACAAAGUAUCCUAUAGAGGGUUCUAAACUUCUUAAUUUCCAAGACUUUAAAUCAGUAGUAGAAAUUAUGAAAGUAAAAGGGCACUUGACUACUGAAGGUAUGGAAAAAAUAAAACAGUUAAAAGCUAAUAUGAAUCAGGGUAGAAAUUAAUUUAAUAUUUAACUUCUUUUCUCUUACAUAGAAAAUGUAAGGGUAAAUGGCUGACUUAACAUGCGGCAGAAUCUGACAAAUGGACCUCCAUUGUAUGUUGUCGUAAGAGGUACAUUUGUUUGCGGCGAUGGCUGCUAGGUUAUCUAUACAUAAAUAUGUAAAAUAAAACCGAAGAUUUCUGUUUGAGCCGUAUGCGAUGAAAGUCGCACGUACGGUUCUUGGAGGGGGAAAGCCUGAGAGGGCCUACCUAUCUCGACUAUUUAAUUCGAUGAUCCUCGAAAAACCUUACCACAGUUUGAAUGUUAAUUAAUAAAUUAACACAGGCGUUGCAUGGCUGUCUUCAGUUAAUGUCGUGAGAUUUGGUUAGAUCCAAAAAAUUAUCGUAAACCCUUGUUCUUUAUUUGUUUGAAUAAUGCAGUUAACCGCUAUAUUGGAUUAUAUAACAGGGACUAAGACAAGUCAUCAUGGCCUUAACAUUGUGGGCUAUAGACGUGCCACAUAUACCUUCACAAAGGGAUGCAAAAGUGUGAACUUGAGCUAAUCCCUAAAACAGGAUAGAAUAUUAAUUGUAGUCUGAAACUCGACUACAUGAAAAAGGAAUUACUAGUAAUCGUGUGUAAUCACAGCACGGUGAAUUUAAUCUCAGCUAGGUACUAACCACUCGUCAGGCGCUGAAAGGGGUAUGUGCAAUAAGUUUGGUUAUUGUUAAUUUUUAAUAUAGGUGAUUAGGCUUAUAUUUAUUAACAAAUAAUCUUCGUAUGCGUGACCCUGAUUGGUGUUAAGUCGAAAAACCAAAAAAGAAAUUGAGACCUUCUUUGCACUUUCAAAAAAUACCAAACUCCGGGGACACCCUAAAGCAGUUUUUGCCAAGUAUACAUAUGAAACAAUAAAAGUAGAUGGCCUUUCGUAAUGGAUAAGGGUAUGGCAACAAGUUAACUGAUUAAUCGAAAGGUUGAAUGGGCUAUCGCGGAUCUAAAUUGACUCUAUUAUCGCUAUAUCAUAAAACAUAAUCUCAAGUAUUAUAUAUAUAGUUAGUAGGUAGAUCAUAAAAGAGCAACGAGCAGAUGGUAUUUGUAGGUCCACUGGUUACUUAUAGUGUAAUCGAAAACGGUAAAUAAUUAGUUUUGCACUCUUCCGCAUAAGUUAAUAUUAGAGAAGUAUUAGACGGUUUAGUCUUGACUUUUAUUGCCGAAGUCUAGGAUCUGUAUAGUUCCAAGGUGGAAUAUUAAGGUGUGCUCUAUAUACAGUAGAAAUACUGGUACUUAAUUAACUUCGUCUCAGACCUAAAUACAAGGUGAAUGCUUUGUACAUGGUCGAAGAAGGAUAAAAUGAUACGGUUCGAGUAGGGGAACUUGCUCGGGAAUAAUUAAACAUUAACAAUACACCCAAAAACAUAUAAAAAAUUCUAAAUUUAAAAUAAUAAAAAUUAAAAGGGGGUAGUCCGUUACUUAUAUUUCUUAUAUAUAUAUGAAAACAGAUGAGGUUGGUCAUAGGGAUAGUGUUUUUCAAAUAAUAUUUAUUUUUUUUUCAAUAUACUACUACUUAAUAUCUUUUCUAUAUUCGAAUACUUCUUUGAUAUUUUUGAUUUUAUAAUUGAUAUCCUGAUUGGUAAUACAGAUGGUUUUAUUUUACUAUCAGCUAUGCCUGUUUAAUUAAAGAAGGUUCUAAGUUACAUAAUGAAUAUGUGGUAGGAUUAUCUGACGCGGAGGCUACAUUUACUAUUUCUGUUACAAAAGAUAAUAGAAUAAGAAAAACUUCACGUCGUUCAUCGGAUACAUAUAGAACUAUUUAUUCUGUUCAUCCUUCUUUUGCUAUUUCUUUAAAUAUUAAAGAUUUACAUUUAAUACAAAGUUUACAAUCAUUUUUUGGAGUAGCCCCGGGCGUCGCCGCUAGGCGGCGACUGGGGUCAUGGGACCCCUCCCCCCCCUGUGUUGCGUAGUAACACAGGACCCCUCCCCCCCCUGUGUAGCGUAGUAACACAGGAGGGCACCCCAUAGGAAAAAUUAAACAAGAUUUAAAAAAUAAUGCUAUUACUUUCUAUGUUAAUUCUGUAGAGGAUUUAUUAAAUAUUAUAGUUCCUUUCUUUAAAAGUCAUCCUUUACUUCUCAAAAAUGAGGUGAUUUCCUUUUAUUUGAGAAAGCAGUUAGUUUAAUUAAACAAGGUGCUCAUCUUACAACAUCUGGUCUUACUGAAAUUGUAAGCAUUAAAGCUUCAAUGAAUAAAGGUUUAUCUAAAAAAUUAGCAGCUCAAUUCUCUUAUAUUUCUUCAGCAGGAAUACCUGCAGUGUUAAAUCAAAGUAUUAGAGACGGUAAUUGACUGGUAGGGUUUGCAGACGGAGAAGGAUCUUUCUUUGUUCGUGUUUUAGUAGCUAGUACUGCAAAAAGCAGUAAUCGUGUUUCAUUUUUCUUUUCUAUAAAUCAGUCAAUUAGAGAUAGUGAUUUAAUUUAUAAAAGCGCAAAAUUUUUAGAUUGCGGUGCUAUUAGUAGUAAUCAAAAAUAUAUUCAAUUAAAAGUAUCUAAAUUUGAAGAUAUUGAUAAAAAGGUUAUAUCGUUCUUUAAAAAUUAUCCUAUGCAUGGAAUUAAAAACCUGAAUUAUCAAGAUUUUUGUCAAAUUAUGGAAUUGGUACAUUCUAAAGUACAUCUUACUUCAGAAGGUAUUAAUAAAGUUAAAAGUAUCAAAGAAGGUAUAAACUUUGGUAGAACUUAGCUUAAAUUAAAGCUGUUUAAGACACAGUUGUGUCAGUAUUUUCUAGUUAUUAUAGACAUUAUGACAAUAUCUACCAGCUGUAGACUGCUCAUAAUCUUUUUGGAAAAUAAUUUCAGUUUAUUUACAGAUUCUUUAUAUUUAAGCGACCUAUUUUUGAUCAGUCUCUCUUGCGCUUUCGUAGCGAGUGGAUAGUUUUUAUGUUCAAUAUAGGUAUCCAUAUUGUAAAUAAAUAGAUAAAGGUUUUAUAUACUUUUUGUUCUUUAUUGCUCAUGAGUACAACUACUCCUUAUAUCUAUACUGCUCUUCUUCUUUAUUAAAUAAAGAAGAAGAAAAAAGAAAAGUAUGGUAAUUUAUCUUAAAAGAAGUAAAUUACUUUAUAUUCGUUCAGGUAGGGGAACUUGCCUGGGAAUAAUUAAAUAU
rnacentral:rRNA from 1 species